rnacentral:lncRNA from 1 species
AGUGCUGCAUUUCUGGAGGAGGUGCUAAGCAGACGUCCUGGCCCGUCCCACCUUGCUGCUGCCACAAGGAGGGAGGAGUUCAGUGUGGGCUGGUUCUCGAAGGUCCCCACCCUCGGAACUAUCUUCCAGAGUCCCGGAGCUGUGCGGGGGCCCCGGAUCCUCUGGCUAACCGUCCGGAUAACCAACAGGACAGACAGAUGGUGCUUUGCCUGGAUGUAUCUGUGCACCACAUACAUGCCUACUGCCCACAAAAGUCAGAAGAGGCAUCCUAUAGACUGGAACUGGAGUUACAGAUGGCUGUGAACCACCAUGUAGGUGCUGGGAACUGAACCCACAUCCUCUGAAAGAACAUAAAUUGCCCUCGACCGACGGAGACAUUGCAAUAUAAGAUUAAGUAACUUUGCCAAUGCCUCACAGCAAGGUGGUGGAGGAUCCAAGAUGCAAGCCUAAGACCCGAACAGCCUCCAUAUUCAGGCCAGUCUGCCGGGAAGAGCAUUGGUUUCAGAAUUCCAGGAGGGGGCUACAACCUGGUAUGACCCCCUCUGGCCAAACACAUCAGCUCUUGAGCAUUCUACCUUCCUAGGCUGUAUGAUGCUCAGAGGGGCUUGAUCUGGCCUCUGUGCCUGUCUUAUGCCCUGGGCUUUCCAAGAUCAUGUAGCUCUUCCCACAGGAUAACUUAGACUCCUGUGCCUGAUAAAGGGUCCUGGGAUACCUACUGAUUCCUAGAAUGGCAUGUGUGAACUCAGACUGAGACUAACCUAAUUUCCUAGUGUAUUCUUUUAUAUCUAGAAUAUCUAACAGCAGGUUCUAAGUCUCUUGGAUGACCCAAUCCUGCUUAAUUUUCACGGGUCCUAAGAUAAAAGAAACGGAGGGGGACUAACCACGGAAGCGCAGGGAGUCUUGGUGGUCACCGGGUGAGCGCAAUUUAAUUUGUGCCUCGCCCCCAUCCAUCACGUUGCAUUAAUUGUGUUAUUUUGAAUUUGCUGGUUUCAUAGCUCUAGAUUAAAGUGUUAUAUUUUAUUUGCUUUUCCAGUUGUAAGUUGCUAGAAGGAUAAGCCGUCUGUCUGUACCCAGUUGUGCCUAUUCCAGUAACAUUAUAACAAAGAUAAACAUGUCAACUGUUGGGAAGAGAUCGUGGAUUCUGCCCCCCUUAAGACUGGCUUGUGUGUUACUCCAGUGUGAAGACCAUGCAUUUAAUUCAGUCUGACCAAGUAGAAAAUAAGCUCCGAACACUGGUGCUCCCCACUGCCCGCGCCACCUGGACCGGCCUCCAUCCAUUCGUCUCCCCCACCGCUGCCUUCGAGGGGAAAUAUGACAGCGUAAUGAACAGUUGUACGACGUGCUAUAAAAAGGCAAUUAAGGGAACUAUCAGACUGGGACAAGCCAGCGUGACCCGGUUAAUAGCUCUGAGCUCUGAGUGGGGCCGAGGGGAGGACGGGCUGAAGGAGGGGGAGGGGACUUGCUGUUUACAGUGAGGGGCUGAAGUUAGUCUAGCAACUAUCAGCUAACAAAGGGCCCUUGGCUGCCCUCAUGGCCGCUGGGUCCAGGGACAACUCUAGGGUCAUGUUAGUUGAGAGUAAAGCUCUGCUCACAACCCUGCGCUGGUGGCCUUGACCUGGGCAAAUGACCCCUAGUCUCUUGGCUACAGUUUCCUGUUUUGUUAAAAGGGAUGAUGCCGGGAACUGUGUUCCAGAAGUGGGGGAAAGGAUACAUUUUUAUUUGCGUUCCUCUGUGUGUGUGUGUGUGUGUGUGUGUGUGUGUGUGUGUGUGUGUGUGUGUGUGUGUGUGUUUGUGUAUGUGUAUGCAUACAUCAUAUACAGCAUAAACAGCAUACAUCAUAUGUCAUAUACAUAUAUAUCAUAUAUACCAUGUACACAUGCAAUACACAUACACGCACAUAUAUAUGUGUAUAUAUGGGGAUUUCUUAGAAUCACUUGCAGGCUAUGGUUCAAUUAAUCCAACAAUGGCAAGUUACAAACAGAAGGUUCAAGAAUCCAGAAGUUUCUCAGUCUGUGGGGCUGAUGUCUCAGCUGGUCUUCAGCAGAUGCUGGGAUUCUGAAGAAGUAGGCUCUAAUGCAGUGGUUCUCAACCUUCUUGAUGCUGCAACCUUUAAUAUAUUUCUUCAUGUUAUGGUGACCCUCCACCAUAAAUUACUUCACUGCUACUUCAUAACUUAUUUUGCUACUGCUAUAAAUUGUAAUGUAAAUAUCUGAUAUGCAGGAUAUCUAAUAUGUAACCCCCAGAAGGGUCACUACCCACAGGUUGAGAAUGGCUCUAAUGUCAGUGAGGGAAGGAAUGGACUUGCUAGCAAGGCAGAGCAAACAAAGAGCAAAAGCUGCCUUCUUCCAUGUACCUUCCAUGUAGGUUUCCAGCAGAAGGUGUGGCCCAGGAUAAAGGUGUGUCUUCCUGCCUCAAGGUCAAAGGUGUGCACCUUCUUGCCUCAAAGGUCUGAACUAGAAGUGGAUUUACCUGCUUCACACAAAGCAAAAGUAAUUUCUCACAGGCGUGCCCUCCAUUUCUGGAUCAUAUUUUAUUCCAGAUGUAGUCAAGUUGACAACCAAGAAGAACCAUCACAAGGUCUGCCCAGGAAGCCAUCUCCCAGCCAGGAUGGGAAGGUUUUCAUUGUGGAAUGUCAGUGCAGGAAUUGGCCCUUAGCAUCCAAAGGAACUUAGGUGGAGGCUCUAUGUGAUGUCCCAGCAGGGAGCUCCAGUUGAAUACAAUCUUGGGUUGUGGUGAGUGCUAGAGGGUAGUCUGGCCCUUCACCCUUCAUGCAAUGCAAACUCUCUGGGCAGAUCUAUAGUCAGCCUUGGGCCAUUUGUUUCCCUUUUAGGAUCCCUUGAGUCACCUCCUCCAUUCCCCAGGCUCUGCUGCCUUCCUAUUUUUUGUUUGUCAUCCACAUGACCUGCAGGACGGGAUCAGAGACACUCAUGCUCGCCCUAGUGCUUGCUUCUCUUGGCUUCACAGUGCGGGUGGGAGGAGUGAUGGGUUUUCAUACUACACAGGGUAGGAAGUCACCACUUGGCACAUGGUAAAGGCCCAAUGGGUACCAGUUAUUGUUUAGAUCACAACAUGGCUCUGGGUUUGUAUUUAGUACGCAACUCAUGCUGACCAUAGAGUGAGUGAAUAUUUGGUAACUGUUGUCUGAAGUGUUGGAGGAAAUCUCACCUGGGUCUUGUUGUCUAUCAGACCUCUGAGCCCAUUAUCCAUCAGUCCCAUAGGGAGAUGAUCCUGUCUAGCGGUUAGAGAAGUGUGCCAUCCAUAGAGUGGUCCCUAUACAUCCCCACCUGCAUCCGCAUCCUGUGCCUGAAUUUCUCAGAGCUCAGGGAGCAUUCAGCUCUCCCACCACGGGUGUUUAUCUUAAAAUAGGAAACCAGUAUGCUCAGGGUCUGCAGAGACCCCAUUCCCCCGCCCCUGCCCCCGCCCCCAUCCCCCACUCCUGCCCCCUCCAGUGCUGCUGCAGAUGGAAGCAACUGACAGCCAGCCCAGUGACAAAGGAGCAAUCAACAGUCAUUAGGGCUCAUUUAAGGACAGCUCAAGGAUGUCUUGAAAAUCCCAGCAUGCUCCUCACUCCAGAUGAAGAGGGUCUGAGUCCCUGGGCUCUUUCUCUUCAGCACCUACCACAGAGGAGGGCUGUGCCAGGCAAGUGGCCCAGGACUUUAUUCCUCAGGCCUGUGUGCUGGCAUCCCUUACCUCUGAAGGUACAAUGGCACUGAGAGCCAAGUGUGGGUCUCACCACUGAGCCACCCUCACAUCAGAAGCAAAAUUGAUCCGAGUCACCAGAGCAGAGCAGAGGCCAAAUGUAAUCUCCUAUGUGGCCAGGAGACUCAUCUGACACACACAGAACCUCGGUUUCUGCUCCUGUUCACUGGGCAUAACUAGACCUUCCCCUCAUAGUGGCCAAGAGGAUUGAAGGAAGGAAAUACAGUGCUUACAUGCAAUAUGAACAUGCAUACCUAUUCCAUGGGAUCACUGCUCAUCCUCAGGUCUCUACUUAAGAGGCCACCUCCAGCUUGCAUGUAGGUUCUUUUCAAGUCUCAAGUUUCAAGCAUGUAUUCUACUCCUAAGUACUUUGACACCCUCUGUGUUUCCCUGGAAUGUUGCACACAUAUAUGAUUCUGGGCCCGAAUCCAGGUGCUUAGUAUGAAUUGUGUCAAAGAGGAGGCUCUUCACAGACCUGUGGGGAAACCACUGUGCUGACAGCCCAGCAAGGGCUAAAUGGGAUGAUGAUGUCACUGGAAGCAGAGUUCCCAUUACCCUGGACUUGGGGAGGUGGGAAUGAGUCCUUAAGUCACCCAGCUUUGUAUAUUAGCAAGACUGGCCUUCUUCUUCUCACCCUUGCUCAGAUGUUUUCCUCUUUGGACAUUCUAUGCUUGUCCAGGGAGUCCUGCUGGACCAUCCAGCUCACAGUGGUCUGUAGAAAUGGAACCUGCCUUUCUCCAGCCAUAGACUGGCUCUCAGGGGAUGCAUAUGGGCAUAGUCUGUGUUCUUGUCCCAGCAUUUAUCAUAGAUAGUUCUCAUUUUUCCCAUCUGGUGUGUUGAGUGUCUCUUGUGUAUCACCUGGUUAUAACCUCAGCUCCAGUCACUAACUCCAGUCCAAAGGACCAUUCUUGGAAGCAGCAAGGUUCCAGGGCACUGCAGGGAAGGCAGAGGCUUCAGGAGAGCUGGGACCAGGGCCCUUCUCUGCUUUUUCUCAGACUGCAAGGCUCUCAGACCAGAGUUAGAUGCUUGGCUCCAGCUGGCCAAACUCCUUAAAACAAAGAGACAGUCCUACCCCAGGGGAGUCACCUUUGAGAGGAGAGGUUCAGGCGCAGCUAGCAUUGAGUUUAAAGAUGCCUUUUGAAGACAACCAGUAAGAACUCACCCCAGCACUGCACACCAGUGUUCACAGUGUUACAGUGUCCAGGCAUGACCCUGGCAGGACUUCUGGGAGUCUCUUGACAAGAUAUCAGGUCUGCCAUUGCUUCCCCAGGUGGGUACGGGUAGAGUGCAGCAAAGCAGGAGCAGGGAUUUCACUUUUGCCACCCAGCCUUCGGCGUGUUUACCCCUUUUCUCUUCUUUUCACUCUCCUUCUCAGGAUGGCCUCUGACCUCCCCAUGGAGGCUUUUCUUGAUGUCUUUAUCUCUAUCAGCCACCACCAGCUCUGCCCCUCGGCCACCAUGGGAGCACAUGCAGGGACCACAGGCAACACACAACAGAGAUGUGUAGGAUAGGAAAAUGACUUUGAAAAUCCCCGAGGCUCCUCGGGAUCCAUCUUAAUGUUUCUGGUCUAAGAUCAAUAGGUGAGGAGACCUCCACGCCUAUAAUUAGCUCGAAUCCUCGAGGAGAGGGACCGGAAGGAGAUAUUCACUCAGCAUCCCCAGUCAGCAGGCAAGGGACAUAAGCUCUUAUUAUGGCUUUUCCCAGAACAGAAGUUCCUAUGUUUCCUCUUUUCCUAAAUCCCCUUUUAUCUCAUAUGACUCAGAAAUGCAUGUGCCUACCUGUUCACGGUAUGAAAUGCAUGUGAUGAACUCUAACUCCUGUUUCCUCCACGGCAGACUUGAACUGCAUGUGGCUAUUCCUGGGGAGGUGAUCUUAGCCUGUGAACACAGUGUGAGCCACACAGGCAGAUGUGUCAUUGACCCCUCCAUCUGCUUAUUUAUUUGCUUGUUUGCUUAUAUUUGUUUUGGGUUUUUUUUUGCUUUUUUCUAGAUUAAAACAAUUUUCUAAUAUUUUGUUUUAUGUGCAUACAUGUGUGUGCAUGGGUGCACACAUGCCAUGGCACAGGUGCAGAGGUCAGAGGACAAACUUGUGGGGAUCACUUCCAUCUCUUCACCAAAGAUCAAACUCAAGUGGUGUCAGGUUUGGUAGCAAAUGCUUUUAUCUGUUGAGCUAUCUUUGCAGACUCUUAAUGACUUUAUUGGCAUAUAUUGAUUAUACAUAAUGAUGCGAUUCAUAUAAUGUACUUGAUCUGCUUGCUCUCUACUGUUACUCUCUCUUGUCCUCUUCCCACUGAUACUGGCCCCCUUUGACACUGAUACAUUAUUAAAUUUUGGUUUUGUAACCUGAGUCUCUUUCUUCAUUCUCUAAUGCUCUGCCUUGAACCAGUUCCUGUGAUGGUGCUGGGCUAUAAAAAUAAAUUUACCCACCUUCUGUGAUGGCUUGAAUAUGCUCGGCCCAGGAAGUGGCACUAUUAGAAGAUAUGGCCUUGUUGGAGUAGGUGUAUCACUGUACAAGUGGGCUUUAAGACUCUCAUCUGCCUAGAAGUCAGUCUUCUACUAGCAGCCUUCAGAUGAAGAUGUAGAACUCUCAGCUCCUCCUGCACCAUGCCUACCUGGAUGCUGCCAUGCUUCUGCCUUGAAGAUAAUGGACUGAACCUCUGAACCGUGUGGGCAAGAAUGCUUGUGCAUAGGCGUGUGUGUUCCACACUGUGCACAUGAAGGUCGGAGGACAAUGUUCAGGUGCCAGUUGACUCUCUCCUUCUGCUACGUGGAUCCUGGGAGGGAACUACAUCAUCACACUUGUCCAGUAAGCACUUCUAUCUACUGAGCUGUUUCUCCUGCCCUCUGUUAUGUUCUUUUGUUCAUUUGUUUGUUUGUUUGGUUGUUUUGUAUUGUUUUAGUUUGUUGAGACAGGGUUUCUCUGUAUAGCCCUGGCUGUCCUGGAAUUCACUCUGUUGUCUAGGCUGGCCUUGAACUCAGAAAUCUACCUGCCUCUGCCUCCCAAGAGCUGGGAUUAAAUGCGUGCACCACCACUGCCUGGCCUGUUAUGUUCCUAAUACGCAGAACAGAAAAACGAUCUGCAGACAAGCUUGCUGGCUGGGGAGAGAUGCAAAGAACAGUGUGAGAAAGUCCCAUGGGCCUGAAAUUGUGUGGAUAAAGACUCUUAAUUUCUUAUGAUGGCUAUUUCCUUUGUUGGGAGUGUAAGACACAUUCAGUCCUUUAAUGAUACUUAGAAGAAGGCAGCACCUGCCCUCAAGACACACAGACACUACUUAUUAACUGAAGCCAAUCAGUGUCCCAGAAGCCACACAAGGUGGAUAUGCUUGUCACCCACACGGUGCCGACGAGGAGGCUGAGGCACAGAGCCUGAGUAGCAUAAGCGGUCUCUCUGUUUCCAGAGUGUGUUACUGUCCCUAGAGACUGGCCCACCUCUCUGGGUCUCAGCAUUUCUUAUCAGUGUAAUAGCUCUCAUACGACAUCAAAGGACUGAUUUCAGGAUUUAAAGUGACAGUGUUUAUCGAGUAUCUUGCCCAGUGACUGCUAUUAAUAUGAUCUGAGGUUAUUAUCAGCAAUACUGCCAUUUUCAGGCUGCCGAGAAGGGGGUCACUUCGGGGCAGAGCCCUGGAAAGACCGUUUCUCGGCCAGGAGGUGAGGAAGCAGAGGAUGAAGGAGAGCUCAUUGUUUUAAUAAACUCACACUCGGUCU